rnacentral:piRNA from 1 species
UCUGUGCUCAUACAGCUUUGGAAAUUUGAAG